UGCCUAGGGGGGCAGCAGUGAGGAAUAUUGGUCAAUGGGCGGGAGCCUGAACCAGCCAAGUCGCGUGAGGGAAGACGGUCCUAUGGAUUGUAAACCUCUUUUGUCGGGGAGCAAAGAGGCCACGUGUGGUCAAAAGCGAGAGUACCCGAAGAAAAAGCAUCGGCUAACUCCGUGCCAGCAGCCGCGGUAAUACGGAGGAUGCGGGCGUUAUCCGGAUUUAUUGGGUUUAAAGGGUGCGCAGGCGGAAGAUCAAGUCAGCGGUAAAAUUGAGAGGCUCAACCUCUUCGAGCCGUUGAAACUGGUUU
rnacentral:rRNA from 1 species